UACGGAGGGGGCUAGCGUUGUUCGGAAUUACUGGGCGUAAAGCGCGCGUAGGCGGACCUGCAAGUCGGGGGUGAAAGCCCGAGGCUCAACCUCGGAACUGCCUUCGAUACUGCGGGUCUCGAGUCCGGGAGAGGUGAGUGGAAUUCCUAGUGUAGAGGUGAAAUUCGUAGAUAUUGGGAAGAACACCGGUGGCGAAGGCGGCCCGCUGGGCAGGAAGACACCGCAAGGUGUCGGCUGACGCUGAGGCGCGACAGCGUGGGGAGCAAACAGG
rnacentral:rRNA from 1 species